CAGGACAUCUUCGUGCUCAGACGACGCCCUCUUUCAUCAUCAACCGUUCCGCCUAGUCUCUUCUUUUAUCCUCUCAGAAUUCUUUGAUGGGUUUUGGACGAUUAUUCGUUUGUUUGAUUGAAGGGAAUGAUCCUUUGCUUAAUCAUUAGAACGAGUGAUCCAUUGUUAGAAAAUUCCACAUAACUUCUCAAAUUUACUGGGCUUAUUUUGAUACUAAAGAAAGGGAAAUGCAGGGAUGGUAUCUUCCUCCAAAUCCAAUUUGACCAAGACAACCGUGUUUUGGGGUUGGUUCUUUGUCCUUAUCGGGUUUGUUUCAUUUCUGGGAUUCCUUUUCACUGCAGUCAUAUCAAAACUUCUUCCUGCUUCGGAUAAUCCUUUAUUAUCAGCUAUUCAAAAAGACAGGUAUUACUGCUUUUUGGUUCCCUUGACAAUCCCUGUCCUCGUUGUUGCUGUGUAUUUCCACUGGCUUAGCAUGAAGUUGUUCAAGCAUGCAUGAUGUUUGUAGUAUCAACCAAGGAAGUUACAGAGCCUGCUUGAGUGCAACUCUUGAUCUGUUGGUGAGAAUUUUAGUUCGCGCAGACUUAAUUAUUGGACUAGAUGAACAUGCUUGGUGGAGGUGGGCUUUCUGACCCAACUGUUGGAGUUUCUGGGUUAACCAUUGAAGAUCAUCCCAUCCUUGACUCCUUUCUACUCUCACAAAUCUGAGCCUACCAGAGUCUUGAGUCAGUAUCAGUUUCUCCAUAUUUCUCUUUUCAGUCAGACUUGUUGUCUACGUAUAAAGAAUGCAGAGUAGAGCACCAAGAGUUUAGGUUCUUGGUGACUUGAUCCAGGGGGAAAAAAAACAGUAAAGCUGUUUGGAGCAUCUAUUAAUUCCAAAUUGAAUUGAUUGCUUACUAGUAAAAGCUCUACAUGAAUUGUGUGGGCACUUGCCCGGGUUUGAAUCUUCCACCUUCAAUGGUGUAUUCGACUUCUUUGCAGAGCCGGGUAGGCCACGUAAUGUUGUCUCUACUCAUGACAAACAGAAUAUGCAAGUCUUGGAAGGCAUUCUACCUAAUGUGAUUACUUGAGAAGUUAACUAUUUCUAAGAAGAAAUAUUUGACAAGAAAUAAUGUAUAGAACCUUUACCUUUGAUAUUUUUGAGUUAAUAUAAGUAAUUUUGACUCUGUUAAACUUUAA